rnacentral:rRNA from 1 species
AGCAGUAGCCGCGGGGAAUACGAAGGGGGCUAGCGUUGUUCGGAUUUACUGGGCGUAAAGCGCACGUAGGCGGAUCGAUCAGUCAGGGGUGAAAUCCCAGAGCUCAACUCUGGAACUGCCUUUGAUACUGUCGAUCUGGAGUAUGGAAGAGGUGAGUGGAAUUCCGAGUGUAGAGGUGAAAUUCGUAGAUAUUCGGAGGAACACCAGUGGCGAAGGCGGCUCACUGGUCCAUUACUGACGCUGAGGUGCGAAAGCGUGGGGAGCAAACAGGAUUAGAUACCCCUGUAGUCCCUGUCUCUUAAC